rnacentral:rRNA from 1 species
AGAGUUUGAUCAUGGCUCAGGAUGAACGCUAGCUACAGGCUUAACACAUGCAAGUCGAGGGGCAGCGGGAUUGAAGCUUGCUUCAAUUGCCGGCGACCGGCGCACGGGUGAGUAACGCGUAUCCAACCUUCCGUACACUCAGGGAUAGCCUUUCGAAAGAAAGAUUAAUACCUGAUGGUAUGAUGAAAUUGCAUGAUAGCAUCAUUAAAGAUUUAUCGGUGUACGAUGGGGAUGCGUUCCAUUAGGUAGUAGGCGGGGUAACGGCCACCUAGCCUACGAUGGAUAGGGGUUCUGAGAGGAACGGUCCCCANAUUGGAACUGAGACACGGUACCAAACUCCGUACGGAGCA